ensembl:lncRNA
CAGACGGCUGUCGGCCUGGUGAGUGAGAGUUCAACCUCCAAACUGAACCCAGUGUGUUACUCACAGAAUCACAGAUUUACUCACAUUUACUGAUUGUUCUGUAGGGUCUUUACAAUUUUCAGCCCCUUCAGGUGACUGUUGUCUUCUGACUCCAUCUUUAGGGUUUAGUUAGAUUAAAUAUUUAACCAUUUAAUUCAAGAAUGAAAGACACAUUUAUCACAAAGGCACUCUUAUAAUGUAGAUUAAAUGUGUGUUGACAUAACAUCUAGAUGUAUGAUUAGAAAGAGAGAAAUGCUGUAAUGACAUGAGCAAAGUGCAGUAUUCCAAGAUGGCAUCAGAGUUUUAACACCUUUUAUACUCAUGUUUUUUUUAAUUAUGUUAAGUGUAAAACAUCAAAGAUAAUGACAUUGAUUCAUCUGUUUAUGUUAUUAUCACAAUAAUAACAACAUAAAAUUAUUAUGGUGACAUUUUUUCUGUGCUGUAUUAAGGUUACCAGAGUCAGCUGGGGAUUCAUGAACAUCAUCAGUGAUGUUUCUCCACAGCGGGCUCAUCAGUACCUGGUGACAAAAGGUCAAUCCAGCUCUGACUUGAGGCUGUUCAAGAAUCUGCGCCACUUGAUCUGGUUCCACCUCUACCACAGGCAGAGAAACACAGGCCUGGACUCUUUGUUGGCCAGACAAAAUCAGGAACGAAAUCAUUGGUUUUCACAACUGGGUCCAGUUCCACCUGCAAAGGAUAUAAGGCCAGGGAGCAUGAUUUGGUAAGUAUAACAUUUCACCAGACAGAAGAGUUUCAUUUCCUUUGAUUUCAGUAUUCUCAGCCGGUCGGCCUCAUGUGUGCCUGAUCACAAGUCGGUCCACUUCAUACAUGCACAGUAGCGCAGGCAAAUAGUUGCUCACACGCUCACUGUGGCCAUUAUUGAGCUCGCGUUUGGUGGAGACGAGUUGGGCUUCGAUUCAGAUUCACAAGGUCCCGAAUCGAUCGAUUCGAUCAGUGAGAGGAUGGACAGACUUUCACUUCUUGAAAGAUCAGAUCCAAAAUCAGUUAUGCAUUAAGAAAUGUAUUUAUUUGAAUAUUUUGUGACAUUGUUAUAUGUGUUGCAUUAGUUUAAAAGUUUUUUUGUUAUUAAUAAAUUGACUACAACAAACACUAACUGUCACUGAACUCAUUUUAUUUUCAGGUAUUUUUAACAUGUAUGAACAUAAUGCUAACUUUGGACAAUUUUACAUGGAUAUUUAUUUGAUGGCAAUAAAGUAAAUAACAACAACAAUUGAACAAGAAUAUUUCUAAUAAGCCAACAAUAUUUAAAGAAGGAAAAACAAUAUCAGUUGUUUAUACAGGAUCAACCUGAGUGACCUGUUCCUGGACCGUUUUUUUUUUAACAACUGUAAUAGAUUACAGGAAGUCUCUGGCUGUGUUGCUGAAUCUGCCGGUGCAAGAUCAGACAUGGAUGGAUGAGGUGCUGCAACUGAGACCUGCCGUUUGUCUUUUCUGGUCGGCGAGUGGAGAAUCACACACAGUGGUCUGCAAAGAGAGCUUCAGGAUGCUUCCUCCCACUGUCCACUGCAUCGUCCAUCCACAGGGUUUGCAGGGCUGGCUCAAUCCAUGGCCACCACACCACUAACAUGUUUUCAGAAAUAUGCAAGCAGGAGAUAGUGGAUGGUAUAUUACUACUAGUACAAUACUUUUAACUUUGUAGCAGACAACACUUUGAUAAAAUGCUAUGAAAAAAAGAAACCAACAGAUUAGAUUCUAAAAGUUUCAAAGAGAUUUAAUUUACAUAUUUUAUAUAAUAAAGUAAAUGUACGAAUGACCGGCAAUAAUUCAGUCACUGAAAUUAUCCAUGAAAUUAGCUAAUUAAUUCCUAAAAGUGU